rnacentral:rRNA from 1 species
UACGAAGGGAGCUAGCGCUGUUCGGAUUCAUUGGGCGUAAAGGGUGCGUAGGCGGCGCGGUAAGUCGGGUGUGAAAUCUCGGAGCUUAACUCCGAAACUGCAUUCGAUACUGCCGUGCUUGAGGACUGGAGAGGAGACUGGAAUUUACGGUGUAGCGGUGAAAUGCGUAGAUAUCGUAAGGAAGACCAGUGGCGAAGGCGGGUCUCUGGGCCGAUACUGACGCUGAGGAGCGAAAGCGUGGGGAGCGAACAGG